UUUAGGUAAGAGUAAGGAUAGACCGGCACAUGACAAGAGAGAUCCGUGAGCUGGCCAUUUGGAUGACCUACUGCUUCUGCACUUAAGUGUCAUGUAUUGGAGUAUGGGUAACGAUAGACUGGCGCAUGACAAAAGAGAUCCGUGAGCUGGCCAUUUGGAUGACCUACUGCUUUCGCAUUUUGGUGUCAUGUAUUGGAGUCUAGUUUAGGAGUUAGGCAUUUUAGAAUCUUAUGAAAUAUUUAUUGAUUUUAUUAUUUGAUUAUUUAAUCGUUAUUCAUUUUAAAGUCAGGUUAGGGAUACCCCGAACGAUAAUUUUUUUUAUGGUUGCUCACCUUUGCUUAUUUGAGCAUUAUUUAAAUUAAAUAAAAUUUUUAUCUCUUUUAUUUUA